rnacentral:rRNA from 1 species
AACGAACGCUGGCGGCAGGCCUAAUACAUGCAAGUCGAACGGAUGUAGCAAUACAUUAGUGGCGCACGGGUGCCUAACGCGUGGGAACAUACCCUUGAGUAAGGAAUAAUGUCUGGAAACGGACACUAAUACCUUAUAAUGACUUCGGUCCAAAGAUUCAUCGCUCAAGGAUUGGCCCGCGUCUGAUUAGCUAGUUGGUGAGGUAACGGCUCACCAAGGCGACGAUCAGUAGCUGGUCUGAGAGGAUGAUCAGCCACACUGGGACUGAGACACGGCCCAAACUCCUACGGGAGGCAGCAGUAAGGAAUAUUGGACAAUGGGGGAAACCCUGAUCCAGCCAUGCCGCGUGAGUGAAGAAGGCCUUAGGGUUGUAAAGCUCUUUCAAUAGUGAAGAUAAUGACGGUAGCUAUAGAAGAACCCCGGCUAAAUUCGUGCCAGCCGCCGCAGUAA